AUGCUAGUCGAACGACCAGAACUAUGUCUGGAAGUGGCACACUGCUCAGUAACACGUAGCUAACCUACCCUUAGGACGUGGAUACCCCCGAGAAAUUGGGGUUAAUCCGCGAUAGGUGUAAUGUCCUGGAAUGGUAUUACGCCUAAAGGUGUAUCAUACAUGUUUGAUAUACGCCUAAGGAUGGGGCUGCGGCCGAUCAGGCUGUUGGUGAGGUAAUGGCUCACCAAACCUUUGACCGGUACGGGCCAUGAGAGUGGUAGCCCGGAGAUGGACACUGAGACAAGGGUCCAGGCCCUAAGGGGCGCAGCAACCGCGAAACCUCCACAAUGCACUCACGUGCGAUGGGGCUAUCUCGAGUGCCACCUGAUGAAGGUGGCUUUUCCUAGGUCUUCAAAGCCUUGGGAAUAAGAGGGGGGCAAGACUGGUGUCAGCCGCCGCGGUAACACCAGCCCCUCGAGUGGUGGGGAUGAUUAUUUGGCCUAAAGCGUCCGUAGCCGGCCGAGCAAGUCUUCCGUUAAAUCCAGCGUCUCGAGCGUUGGACUGCGGGAGAUACUACACGGCUAGAGAGUGGGAGAGGUCAGCGGUAUUCUGGGGGUAGGGGCGAAAUCCUUUGAUCCCCGGAGGACCACCAGUGGCGAAGGCUGCUGACUAGAACACGUCUGACGGUCAGGGACGAAAGCUGGGGUAGCGAACCGGAUCAGAUACCCGGGUAGUCCCAGCCGUAAACGAUGCAUGCUAGGUGUUGGGUUGGCCACGAGCCACCCCAGUGCCGCAGGGAAGCCGUUAAGCAUGCCGCCUGGGAAGUACGAUCGCAAGAUUGAAACUUAAAGGAAUUGGCGGGGGAGCACCACCAGGCGUGAAGCCUGCGGUUUAAUUGGAGUCAACGCCGGA
rnacentral:rRNA from 1 species